rnacentral:tRNA from 6 species
ACACCCUUAGCUCAGCUGGAUAGAGCAGCGGAUUUCUAAUCCGCAGGCCAAAGGUUCGAAUCCUUUAGGGUGUG